rnacentral:tRNA from 1 species
GGGAUUUUAGUAUAAUGGUGAAUACAUAUGACUUUUAAUUAUUAUGAUAUUAGUUCGAAUCUAAUAGAUCCUA